AAAGCAUAUGCUUCUGUAGAAGCUACACGUCGAUUUCAACUUCAUGUUAAGAAAAUCAUGUUCAUUUUUCAUUCUGUUCAUGU